AUUGAACGCUGGCGGCAUGCCUUACACAUGCAAGUCGAACGGCAGCGGGGGAGAAGCUUGCUUUUCCUGCCGGCGAGUGGCGAACGGGUGAGUAAUACAUCGGAACGUGCCCUGUAGUGGGGGAUAACUAGUCGAAAGAUUAGCUAAUACCGCAUACGACCUGAGGGUGAAAGUGGGGGACCGCAAGGCCUCAUGCUAUAGGAGCGGCCGAUGUCUGAUUAGCUAGUUGGUGGGGUAAAGGCCUACCAAGGCGACGAUCAGUAGCUGGUCUGAGAGGACGAUCAGCCACACUGGUACGGAUACACGGCCGAGACUGCUACGGGAGGCAGCAGUGGGGAAUUUUGGACAAUGGGCGAAAGCCUGAUCCAGGAAUGCCGCGUGUGUGAAGAAGGCCUUCGGGUUGUAAAGCACUUUUGUCCGGAAAGAAAUGGCUCUGGUUAAUACCUGGGGUCGAUGACGGUACCGGAAGAAUAAGGACCGGCUAACUACGUGCCAGCCGCCGCCGUAA
rnacentral:rRNA from 1 species